AGAGUUUGAUCCUGGCUCAGGACGAACGCUGGCGGCGCGCCUAACACAUGCAAGUCGAACGAGCGAGAGAGAGCUUGCUUUCUCGAGCGAGUGGCGAACGGGUGAGUAACGCGUGAGGAACCUGCCUCAAAGAGGGGGACAACAGUUGGAAACGACUGCUAAUACCGCAUAAGCCCACAGGUCGGCAUCGACCAGAGGGAAAAGGAGCAAUCCGCUUUGAGAUGGCCUCGCGUCCGAUUAGCUAGUUGGUGAGGUAAUGGCCCACCAAGGCGACGAUCGGUAGCCGGACUGAGAGGUUGAACGGCCACAUUGGGACUGAGACACGGCCCAGACUCCUACGGGAGGCAGCAGUGGGGAAUAUUGCACAAUGGGGGAAACCCUGAUGCAGCGACGCCGCGUGGAGGAAGAAGGUCUUCGGAUUGUAAACUCCUGUUGUUGAGGAAGAUAAUGACGGUACUCAACAAGGAAGUGACGGCUAACUACGUGCCAGCAGCCGCGGUAAAACGUAGGUCACAAGCGUUGUCCGGAAUUACUGGGUGUAAAGGGAGCGCAGGCGGGAAGACAAGUUGGAAGUGAAAUCCAUGGGCUCAACCCAUGAACUGCUUUCAAAACUGUUUUUCUUGAGUAGUGCAGAGGUAGGCGGAAUUCCCGGUGUAGCGGUGGAAUGCGUAGAUAUCGGGAGGAACACCAGUGGCGAAGGCGGCCUACUGGGCACCAACUGACGCUGAGGCUCGAAAGUGUGGGUAGCAAACAGGAUUAGAUACCCUGGUAGUCCACACCGUAAACGAUGAUUACUAGGUGUUGGAGGAUUGACCCCUUCAGUGCCGCAGUUAACACAAUAAGUAAUCCACCUGGGGAGUACGACCGCAAGGUUGAAACUCAAAGGAAUUGACGGGGGCCCGCACAAGCAGUGGAGUAU
rnacentral:rRNA from 1 species